CACAUUUACUGUUUGUUUAUUCACCAAGUGUUAGGUUUAGGGUUAUGUAUGGGACUCUGUAGGUUUCUACUGUAUGGGACUCUGUAGGUUUCUACUGUAUGGGACUCUGUAGGAUUCUACUGUAUGUAUGGGACUCUGUAGGUUUCUACACUCUGUAGGUUUCUACACUCUGUUGGUUUCUACACUCUGUAGGUUUCUACUGUAUGUAUGGGACUCUGUAGGUUUCUACACUCUGUAGGUUUCUACUGUAUGUAUGGGACUCUGUAGGUUUCUACACUCUGUAGGUUUCUACACUCUGUAGGUUUCUACACUCUGUUGGUUUCUACACUCUGUAGGUUUCUACACUCUGUAGGUUUCUACUGUAUGUAUGGGACUCUGUAGGUUUCUACUGUAUGGGACUCUGUAGGUUUCUACUGUAUGUAUGGGACUCUGUAGGUUUCUACACUCUGUAGGUUUCUACUGUAUGGUUGGGACUCUGUAGGUUUCUACUGUAUGGGACUCUGUAGGUUUCUACACUGUAGGUUUCUACUGUAUGUAUGGGACUGUAGGUUUCUACUGUAUGUAUGGGACUCUGUAGGUUUCUACUGUAUGUAUGGGACUCUAGGUUUCUACACUCUGUAGGUUUCUACUGUAUGGUUGGGACUCUGUAGGUUUCUACUGUAUGGGACUCUAUAGGUUUCUACACUGUAGGUUUCUACUGUAUGUAUGGGACUGUAGGUUUCUACUGUAUGUAUGGGACUCUGUAGGUUUCUACUGUAUGUAUGGGACUCCGUAGGUUUCUACACUCUGUAGGUUUCUACUGUAUGUAUGGGUCUCUUUAGGUUUCUACACUCUGUAGGUUUCUACUGUAUGUAUGGGACUCUGUAGGUUUCUACUGUAUGGGACUCUGUAGGUUUCUACUGUAUGUAUGGGACUCUGUAGGUUUCUACACUCUGUAGGUUUCUACUGUAUGGUUGGGACUCUGUAGGUUUCUACUGUAUGGGACUCUGUAGGAUUCUACUGUAUGUAUGGGACUGUAGGUUUCUACUGUAUGGGACUCUGUAGGAUUCUACUGUAUGUAUGGGACUCUGUAGGUUUCUACACUCUGUAGGUUUCUACACUCUGUUGGUUUCUACACUCUGUAGGUUUCUACUGUAUGUAUGGGACUCUGUAGGUUUCUACACUCUGUAGGUUUCUACACUCUGUAGGUUUCUACUGUAUGUAUGGGUCUCUUUAGGUUUCUACACUCUGUAGGUUUCUACUGUAUGUAUGGGACUCUGUAGGUUUCUACUGUAUGGGACUCUGUAGGUUUCUACUGUAUGUAUGGGACUCUGUAGGUUUCUACACUCUGUAGGUUUCUACUGUAUGGUUGGGACUCUGUAGGUUUCUACUGUAUGGGACUCUGUAGGUUUCUACACUGUAGGUUUCUACUGUAUGUAUGGGACUGUAGGUUUCUACUGUAUGUAUGGGACUCUGUAGGUUUCUACUGUAUGGGACUCUGUAGGUUUCUACUGUAUGUAUGGGACUCUGUAGGUUUCUACACUCUGUAGGUUUCUACUGUAUGGUUGGGACUCUGUUGGUUUCUACUGUAUGGUUUGGACUCUGUAGGUUUCUACUGUAUGGUUGGGACUCUGUAGGUUUCUACUGUAUGGUUGGGACUCUGUUGGUUUCACUGUAUUGUUGGGACUCUGUAGGUUUCUACUGUAUGGUUGGGACUCUGUAGGUUUCUACUGUAUGGGACUCUAUAGGUUUCUACACUGUAGGUUUCUACUGUAUGUAUGGGACUGUAGGUUUCUACUGUAUGUAUGGGACUCUGUAGGUUUCUACUGUAUGUAUGGGACUCCGUAGGUUUCUACACUCUGUAGGUUUCUACACUCUGUAGGUUUCUACACUCUGUAGGUUUCUACUGUAUGUAUGGGUCUCUUUAGGUUUCUACACUCUGUAGGUUUCUACUGUAUGUAUGGGACUCUGUAGGUUUCUACUGUAUGGGACUCUGUAGGUUUCUACUGUAUGUAUGGGACUCUGUAGGUUUCUACACUCUGUAGGUUUCUACUGUAUGGUUGGGACUCUGUAGGUUUCUACUGUAUGGGACUCUGUAGGUUUCUACACUGUAGGUUUCUACUGUAUGUAUGGGACUGUAGGUUUCUACUGUAUGUAUGGGACUCUGUAGGUUUCUACUGUAUGGGACUCUGUAGGUUUCUACUGUAUGUAUGGGACUCUGUAGGUUUCUACACUCUGUAGGUUUCUACUGUAUGGUUGGGACUCUGUAGGUUUCUACUGUAUGGGACUCUGUAGGUUUCUACACUGUAGGUUUCUACUGUAUGUAUGGGACUGUAGGUUUCUACUGUAUGUAUGGGACUCUGUAGGUUUCUACUGUAUGGGACUCUGUAGGUUUCUACUGUAUGUAUGGGACUCUGUAGGUUUCUACACUCUGUAGGUUUCUACUGUAUGGUUGGGACUCUGUAGGUUUCUACUGUAUGGGACUAUAUAGGUUUCUACACUGUAGGUUUCUACUGUAUGUAUGGGACUGUAGGUUUCUACUGUAUGUAUGGGACUCUGUAGGUUUCUACUGUAUGUAUGGGACUCCGUAGGUUUCUACACUCUGUAGGUUUCUACACUCUGUAGGUUUCUACACUCUGUAGGUUUCUACUGUAUGUAUGGGUCUCUUUAGGUUUCUACACUCUGUAGGUUUCUACUGUAUGUAUGGGACUCUGUAGGUUUCUACUGUAUGGGACUCUGUAGGUUUCUACUGUAUGUAUGGGACUCUGUAGGUUUCUACACUCUGUAGGUUUCUACUGUAUGGUUGGGACUCUGUAGGUUUCUACUGUAUGGGACUCUGUAGGAUUCUACUGUAUGUAUGGGACUGUAGGUUUCUACUGUAUGGGACUCUGUAGGAUUCUACUGUAUGUAUGGGACUCUGUAGGUUUCUACACUCUGUAGGUUUCUACACUCUGUUGGUUUCUACACUCUGUAGGUUUCUACUGUAUGUAUGGGACUCUGUAGGUUUCUACACUCUGUAGGUUUCUACUGUAUGUAUGGGACUCUGUAGGUUUCUACUGUAUGGGACUCUGUAGGUUUCUACUGUAUGUAUGGGACUCUGUAGGUUUCUACACUCUGUAGGUUUCUACUGUAUGGUUGGGACUCUGUAGGUUUCUACUGUAUGGGACUCUGUAGGUUUCUACACUGUAGGUUUCUACUGUAUGUAUGGGACUGUAGGUUUCUACUGUAUGUAUGGGACUCUGUAGGUUUCUACUGUAUGGGACUCUGUAGGUUUCUACUGUAUGUAUGGGACUCUGUAGGUUUCUACACUCUGUAGGUUUCUACUGUAUGGUUGGGACUCUGUAGGUUUCUACUGUAUGGGACUCUGUAGGAUUCUACUGUAUGUAUGGGACUGUAGGUUUCUACUGUAUGGGACUCUGUAGGAUUCUACUGUAUGUAUGGGACUCUGUAGGUUUCUACACUCUGUAGGUUUCUACACUCUGUUGGUUUCUACACUCUGUAGGUUUCUACUGUAUGUAUGGGACUCUGUAGGUUUCUACACUCUGUAGGUUUCUACACUCUGUAGGUUUCUACUGUAUGUAUGGGUCUCUUUAGGUUUCUACACUCUGUAGGUUUCUACUGUAUGUAUGGGACUCUGUAGGUUUCUACUGUAUGGGACUCUGUAGGUUUCUACUGUAUGUAUGGGACUCUGUAGGUUUCUACACUCUGUAGGUUUCUACUGUAUGGUUGGGACUCUGUAGGUUUCUACUGUAUGGGACUCUGUAGGUUUCUACACUGUAGGUUUCUACUGUAUGUAUGGGACUGUAGGUUUCUACUGUAUGUAUGGGACUCUGUAGGUUUCUACUGUAUGGGACUCUGUAGGUUUCUACUGUAUGUAUGGGACUCUGUAGGUUUCUACACUCUGUAGGUUUCUACUGUAUGGUUGGGACUCUGUUGGUUUCUACUGUAUGGUUUGGACUCUGUAGGUUUCUACUGUAUGGUUGGGACUCUGUAGGUUUCUACUGUAUGGUUGGGACUCUGUU